rnacentral:rRNA from 1 species
GAUGAACGCUAGCGGCAGGCCUAAUACAUGCAAGUCGAACGGUGUCUUCGGACAUAGUGGCGCACGGGUGCGUAACACGUAUGCAACCUACCUUACAUUGGGGGAUAGCCUUUCGAAAGGGAGAUUAAUACCACAUAAGACAGUAGCUGGGCAUCCAGCAGCUGUUAAAGAUUUAUCGAUGUAAGAUGGGCAUGCGUCCAAUUAGUUAGUUGGCGAGGUAACGGCUCACCAAGACUUUGAUUGGUAGGGGAACUGAGAGGUCAAUCCCCCACACUGGCACGGAGAGACGGGCCAGACUCCUACGGGAGGCAGCAGUAGGGAAUAUUGGGCAAUGGACGCAAGUCUGACCAAGCCAUGCCGCGUGCAGGAUGAAGGCGUUAUGCGUUGUAAACUGCUUUUAUACAGGGGAUAAAACACUCAUGCGUGAGAAAUUGAAGGUACCUGGUGAAUAAGCCACGGCUAACUACGUGCCAGCCGCCGCAGUAAAAC